rnacentral:rRNA from 1 species
UAGGGAAUCUUCCACAAUGGGCGCAAGCCUGAUGGAGCAACACCGCGUGAGUGAAGAAGGGUUUCGGCUCGUAAAGCUCUGUUGUUGGAGAAGAACGUGCGUGAGAGUAACUGUUCACGCAGUGACGGUAUCCAACCAGAAAGUCACGGCUAACUACGUGCCAGCACCGCGGUAAUACUGACU